UACGGAGGGUGCAAGCGUUAUCCGGAUUCACUGGGUUUAAAGGGUGCGUAGGCGGGCCGGUAAGUCCGUGGUGAAAUCUCUGAGCUUAGCUCAGAAACUGCCAUGGAUACUAUUUGUCUUGAAUAUUGUGGAGGUGAGCGGAAUAUGUCAUGUAGCGGUGAAAUGCUUAGAUAUGACAUAGAACACCAAUUGCGAAGGCAGCUCACUACACAAUUAUUGACGCUGAGGCACGAAAGCGUGGGGAUCAAACAGG
rnacentral:rRNA from 1 species